rnacentral:rRNA from 1 species
UGGCUCAGAACGAACGCUGGCGGCAGGCUUAACACAUGCAAGUCGAGCGCCCCGCAAGGGGAGCGGCAGACGGGUGAGUAACGCGUGGGAAUCUACCCUUGACUACGGAAUAACGCAGGGAAACUUGUGCUAAUACCGUAUGUGUCCUUCGGGAGAAAGAUUUAUCGGUCAAGGAUGAGCCCGCGUUGGAUUAGCUAGUUGGUGGGGUAAAGGCCUACCAAGGCGACGAUCCAUAGCUGGUCUGAGAGGAUGAUCAGCCACAUUGGGACUGAGACACGGCCCAAACUCCUACGGGAGGCAGCAGUGGGGAAUAUUGGACAAUGGGCGCAAGCCUGAUCCAGCCAUGCCGCGUGAGUGAUGAAGGCCCUAGGGUUGUAAAGCUCUUUCACCGGAGAAGAUAAU